GGUGAGCAGCGGCGGCGGUGUAAAGGGUGGAGCCCUAGGUAGGGGUAGGUUAGUCACACACGCAGGGGCUAGGUUUUAGGAGAGCUAGAGAGGGUGGUUGGUCGCGGAGGGGACUAGGGGAGGAGGUGGAGGACGUCGGACUCGUGGCCGGCCGGUGGUCUCGAGGAGGCGCCGGAGGAAGGAGCGGCCGGCUGGUUCGAAGUACGCGGAGACGGAGCUCCCGGAGGAGUAGGGGUUGGUCGUAGCGGAGGCCGGAGGUCAGCGGAAGUUGGUGGCUAAGCGCGCAGGGACGUGGGCGCUCGCAGGCUCCGGCGUAGGAGGAGGAGUAGGUACUGGUACAGCGGCGGCCGCUGGUCGUGAGGAUCCGGCCGGAGCGGAGGGAAGAGGAGGACAGGGGAAGGAGGGAACCGAGGAGAAGAGAAAGAGUGAGAUCAUAGAGGGCAGGAGAGACAAGAGCAUCCUCUUGCGGUACCUUCGACGUUCCUCGAGUUCGGGCGGCAGCCGGCGGGCGCUGGCGGAGGAGGCGUAGACGUAGCGGAGCGGUCUCGUGGCAGCAGAGGCGCGGAGGCCGCUGGCGUUCGGUGGUCACGUGGUCCUGGGUAGCACGCGGAGGAGACGUAGCUUGCCCCUCCUGCUCUACGUGCAAAGGAAGCGGUAGCGACGCGGGUGUGCGGUUCAGGGAGCAUCUAGGUGGUCUCUGACCAGGAGCGGCUGGAAGGGACGUGCGGGCGAGGGCGGCAGGACAAAGAAGGGCCGCUCUCGGAGCGGAGACGAGGUAGGCCAAACUCUCUCGCAACAGCAAGGGGAAGCAACUGGCGUCGGGCAAGGUUCAUGGCGCGGAGCGUUCGAGGACACCGACGACGGAGAUAAGCUAGGCCUCCUAGGGGAGCGGGCGAAGCAGUGCGCACCAACGCAACUGGUGCGCACCUGAGUCGGACGCGAUCCGGGUCGGCGAGGGAACGGUCAGGCUCGGUGGUGGCUAGCCCGGUGCCGGGCGAUCGAAGCCAAAGCAAGGCCUCAACACUCCUAGGUAAGCUGAUGCAAACAAACAGAAGAAGUACCUGAGCAAGAAGAAGGAACGCCCUAGAGUCCGUUCUACUGGUAUGGGAGCUUUAGUGAAGAUAGAAACGAACGAUCAACGAGCGAGAUAACGAUGCGGCACUAUGGAUGGUGAACGAUAUAGUACGGAGGGUAUAACGGUACAGUUCGGAGAUUGGGAGGAAAGGAUCUUUUGGCAACAAACCGAUACAAUGACGAAACGAGUCGGGUAGAAUAUCACAACGAUCAACGUCCACCUCUACCUCAAACAAGGUACAACCUUGUACCAAUAACAAACCCUAUAGUAAUAAUAAUAUAGAACAAAUGAAAUUACGUGGAUAUAUGAACCAUUUCCCACCUUCCGAGCCGGAAUACGGACCACAAAACAAGGUGAGAACGGCGGGAUCAAAAGGCAGUAUGGCCACAGUACAAGGAACUAAAAACGCAAGGAAUGCGCCAACCCACAAUACCCUUGGGGAACUGUCAAACGAAACUUAUUUUGAGGAGGUCGUUCCGGGUUGGAACCAAAAUGGUAAACGGAGUGGUGGUGGAUGAGAAGGGAGCCCAGCCGGUUGGACUCCCAGUAGAAAUAAAAUUCGGGGGGCCCGGUCACGAACAGAUUCACAACCAGGCUUGGCUCAUCUGACGCCCCGGUGGAGCCCCUUUGAUCUCCAAACCAAAAUGAGUAUCCUACAGAGUAGGCCACACGGAACUCUUGCUCUAUACACAUCGAGGAUAGCCCUAAACAGCCGUGUAAGCCCACCGAAACGACCAGAACAAAAUGGUAACAGCUUUCCAGAACAUUGGCCCUAAGGCUCAGACUAGCCCAGAAGGACCCUCUUCCUUAUAGGAAGCAACUGGCACUCUCGAACACUACCCGAUUCAACCCUGUGGGGACGUCCCAAACUUGAAAGCUUUCGGCACGGGCACCAAUACCCGUCUACCCUUACACAAUUACAGGCCAACAUCUCUUGAACUGUGAAUUGAAUAAAUUUUACGUAGUUGGCGCACACAUCGGCACUACCAGGGAAGAGCCGCCUCAGGCCCUUCACUUGUGCCAAAACCACAAUACAAACACGCAUUCAUCAAAGUCCUAGUGAAGAACUAGUGAUGAUCAAGUGCUGGCACGAAACGAAUAGAAGAGCGAGAAUAAACGUAUACAAUCGGUGGUAUAUACGAUCACGAACGACGUCGAGGUGGAGUGAUUGGAAAGGAUGGGUAUUCGAAUUUAUCAGAACUAGAGCGCCCACACUCUAGCAACUCAGGAGCACCGAGUGUCUAUGAAGGUUUAUCAAUGUCCACGGCUACUAUGGUCACAUCUACUAUGUUGGAUCGAGUUCACCCUCGAGCUACUUCUAGCACAAGCAACACAACAAAGCAAAGGUCAACUAGCCAUGACCUCGGGUCAACCCCGCUAGCCCCUAGAUCGUAAUCCCCACCAGAAGAAAAUAAAACCAAGGCAUCAGUCUGUAACUAACAUAAGACCUACUACAUUACGAUAUAAAUACAUAACACACUUCACCGUUAACAUUCGGUUGACACAUAGGGAAAGAAUAAGUCAUGUACCUUACACAUUUCUAAUGGGGAGAACGCCGUACGGAUAUUACGUCAAUACGGAGAUUCAGCACGAGGCUGUACACCCUCUAUAUCGGCGUAACACCCACAAUGUUGUACAAUCACUAUAACGGAGGUAAGUACUAAAAAGUGUAAGGGUACGUAGUACUAUAUAUACGGAACACACAACGUAGGUUAAGAACCUAAUGAACGAGGAGAGUAUACAAACCAACGUUGUUACAGUAGUGAAGUGUAUACGGUACAGGGUAACUAACGAUGUACGAACGGAACUAACGGAGUGUUUACUACUUGUUAACGAGAAAGGUAACACAACUCACGGUGUGCUAUAAGUGAUGUGGUAUACUUGCAAUACGAACCUAACAGAACGUGAACUGGGUAUACAAAUCUGUGAAGUGAAAUAAACCAUAACACUUACGAAGAAUACGUAUGGUAGCUGGAAAGUAACUCUUGAAACGGGUACGAAAGAUAUUGGAACUCCAACUACGAAUAAGAGCACAGUGUGUAUAAACGUAGUGAUGGAGUGUAAAUGUACGAACAGGGGUAGUAUAUAAACGAAUACGAGUUAAAUACACGAAUGUACGGUACAGUGAUAGGAAACGGUUUGGUAUGCGAAACGUACUACUGCUGUGAACAAAUCACUUAGUGGAGAACUUACGAACCAAAACGUGAUUGCGAUUGGUGUAAAUAAAAGGUUCACAAACAACAGGAAUGAGGAAAACUUCCUUAGUGUUCUGCCACGCUGUAACCUCUCACGGGUAAAGUUUGAAGUUCUACUGUUCAUGAACCACUUGUAGGUGAUGAUGUGCCGCUUCGGUAGAGAAAGGGUACCACUAAACCAAAAGCUAGGCUCCAGCCUAGAAAGGGUUCCCUCCCCUCUACUACGCCUCGUAGGAUACCUGUAGUGGUACAGUUCUCAGGCAAACCGUUCACCGUGCACGCUGGAGAUGAAGUGUAUGGGUUUCCACUUAGUAGAGGAAAUGUGCACCAGUGAACUGGGGAAUCUCCUACCAUAUGAUGAACUGUGAAGAGGGCACACGUACGUAUCCAUAACAGUCUUGAAGUGCCUACAACUCCUCUUCACGUUCGUGGUUCCUUGUUGAUGUGGUAGGCGCUCCCUUCAGACCUUCGCUGCUACCUUCUUCUGCCUCGACGACUGCGAUGUCGCCGGCCUGUAGGCCCGGUUGCCGGCCUGUAGGCCGCGGACACGUCGGCGCGUCCUCGACGUGGUUGUCUUCCGGUUCUCGAGGUCGCCGGCCUGUAGACCGCGGUCGUGCCUGUAGGCCGCUGGUUGGGGGCUUUAGGUCGCUGCGGAUAGGUCUCUUCUUAUCUAAGCCGGUGACGGUCCGGCCUGUAGGCCGGUCACGGGGCCUGUAGGCCGCAGAGCGCUUGUCGGCCUGUAGACCGGGGGUCGGGCCUAUAGGUCGCGGACGGACACGCGUACCUGUCCCGGGCUCCGGGUACAUAGGGGAAGGGGUGAAUGGGGAAGCACCGAAUCUGAUAUAUAUGAUGAGGGGGAGGAGGAUCAAUCCCGGUCGCAAUAGAAUCGAGUAAACACUCUAUCUCGAAGCGAGUAGGUAUAGCCUAGAUGAGGAACUCUCUCUGGCGCAGGGGAGAAGCCUCUUCUAGGUGGAACCUAAGUUCUGGGGAAAUGUUCUUCUAGGGGGAACACCUAAGUUCUGGAGGAGUGCCUCUUCUUGCCCGAUGGGAAACAUAUCAGGGAACAACCUACACCUAGCACAUAGAGAAACACAAAGCUCCUAGAUCGUAUACACAC
rnacentral:rRNA from 1 species